rnacentral:rRNA from 1 species
CAGUAGCCGCGGGAAAACGUAGGGUGCGAGCGUUAUCCGGAAUUAUUGGGCGUAAAGAGCUCGUAGGCGGUUUGUCGCGUCUGCUGUGAAAACCUGAGGCUCAACCUCGGGCUUGCAGUGGGUACGGGCAGACUAGAGUGCAGUAGGGGAGACUGGAACUCCUGGUGUAGCGGUGGAAUGCGCAGAUAUCAGGAAGAACACCGAUGGCGAAGGCAGGUCUCUGGGCUGUAACUGACGCUGAGGAGCGAAAGCGUGGGGAGCGAACAGGAUUAGAUACCCCUGUAGUCCCUGUCUCUUAUAC